GAUGAACGCUAGCGACAGGCUUAACACAUGCAAGUCGAGGGGCAGCACAGGUAGCAAUACCGGGUGGCGACCGGCGCACGGGUGAGUAACGCGUAUGCAACUUACCUAUCAGAGGGGGAUAACCCGGCGAAAGUUGGACUAAUACCGCAUGAAGCAGGGGCCCCGCAUGGGGAUAUUGCUAAGAUUCAUCGCUGAUAGAUAGGCAUGCGUUCCAUUAGGCAGUUGGCGGGGUAACGGCCCACCAAACCGACGAUGGAUAGGGGUUCUGAGAGGAAGGUCCCCCACAUUGGUACUGAGACACGGACCAAACUCCUACGGGAGGCAGCAGUGAGGGAAUAUUGGGUCAAUGGGCGUAAGCCUGAACCAGCCAAGUCGCGUGAGGGAUGAAGGGUUCUAUGGGAU
rnacentral:rRNA from 1 species